rnacentral:rRNA from 1 species
UACGUAGGUGGCGAGCGUUAUCCGGAAUGAUUGGGCGUAAAGGGUGCGUAGGCGGCCUGCUAAGUCUGGAGUGAAAGGUACCGGCUCAACCGGUACAGGCUCUGGAAACUGGCGGGCUAGAGAGCAGGAAAGGGCGGUGGAACUCCAUGUGUAGCGGUAAAAUGCGUAGAUAUAUGGAGGAACACCGGUGGCGAAAGCGGCUCUCUGGCCUGUAACUGACACUGAGGCUCGAAAGCGUGGGGAGCAAACAGG